AUAAACGCUGGCGGCGUGCUUUAUGCAUGCAAGUCGAACGGUCUUUAGCAAUAAAGACAGUGGCAAACGGGUGAGUAAUACAUGAGUAACCUGCCCUUAAGUAGGGAAUAAUUCGCCGAAAGGUGAACUAAUGCUCUAUGUGGUGGUGGGGGUAAUGCCCCAUCACUAAAGCCGUAAGGCGCUCAAGGAGGGGCUUAUGUCCGAUUAGCUAGUUGGUGAGGUAACGGCCCACCAAGGCGAUGAUCGGUAGCUGGUCUAAGAGGACGAUCAGCCACAAUGGGACUGAGACACGGCCCAUACUCCUACGGGAGGCAGCAGCAGGGAAUAUUGUACAAUGGGCGAAAGCCUGAUACAGCGACGCCGCGUGGAGGAUGAAGAUCUUCGGAUUGUAAACUCCUUUUCUCAGGGAAGAAUAAUGACGGUACCUGAGGAAUAAGUCACGGCUAACUACGU
rnacentral:rRNA from 1 species